UCCAGGCAGGUCACAGGUGCUGCACUUGAAUGGGGGAUAAUUGAUAAGUGUGAAUGAGAGGAGUAGCAGGAAGAGGAUGAUUUGCCAUUUUGCAAAAAGGAGUCCACCAACCAUGGAGUGGUUCUGGCCAGUCUACGAAGAAUGUGUAAUGAGGGUUUUCCUGUUCUCUGCUUCACCUUUUGCCAUCAGAGAGCUGAAAACUCCAUGUUGGGGUCAUGCGCUUGAAGCAAUUUAUAUUCAUGAAAGGACAUGAGACUCAACUGUGCAUGCACAUAUUUCUCUUUUCAUAAAUAUACUUGGCUACCACAGCUUACCAACUAUA